rnacentral:rRNA from 1 species
AUACGGAGGGUGCAAGCGUUACUCGGAAUCACUGGGCGUAAAGCGCGCGCAGGCGGGAUGAUAAGUUGGAUGUGAAAGCCUACGGCUCAACCGUAGAACUGCAUCCAAAACUGUCAGCCUAGAGUCUGGGAGGGGAAGAUGGAAUUAGUUGUGUAGGGGUAAAAUCCGUAGAGAUAACUAGGAAUACCAAAAGCGAAGGCGAUCUUCUGGAACAGUACUGACGCUGAGGCGCGAAAGCGUGGGGAGCAAACAGGAUUAGAUACCCUAGUAGUCC